rnacentral:rRNA from 1 species
UAUUGCACAAUGGGGGGAACCCUGAUGCAGCGACGCCGCGUGAACGAAGAAAUAUUUCGGUAUGUAAAGUUCUAUCAGCAGGGAAGAAAAUGACAGUACCUGACCAAGAAGCCCCGGCUAACUACGUGCCAGCAGCCGCGGUAAUCCGUAGGGGGCGAGCGUUAUCCGGAUUCCCUGGGCGUAAAGGGAGCGCAGGCGGCACGGCAAGUCCGGUGUGAAAGCCCGGGGCCCAACCCCGGGACUGCACUGGAAACUGCCGGGCUGGAGUGUCGGAGGGGCAGGCGGAAUUCCUAGUGUAGCGGUGAAAUGCGUAGAUAUUAGGAGGAACACCGGUGGCGAAGGCGGCCUGCUGGACGACGACUGACGCUGAGGCUCGAAAGCGUGGGGAGCAAACAGG